UACAGAGGGGGCAAGCGUUGUUCGGAAUUACUGGGCGUAAAGGGCGCGUAGGCGGCCUGUUAAGUCGAACGUGAAAUCCCUGGGCUCAACCCAGGAACUGCGUCCGAUACUGGCAGGCUUGAAUUCGGGAGAGGGGUGCGGAAUUCCAGGUGUAGCGGUGAAAUGCGUAGAUAUCGGGAGGAACACCUGUGGCGAAGGCGGAUCUCUGGGCCGAUACUGACGCUGAGGAGCGAAAGCGUGGGGAGCGAACAGG
rnacentral:rRNA from 1 species